UACGUAGGGGCCAAGCGUUGUCGGAUUUAUUGGGCGUAAAGAGCGUGUAGGCGGCCAGACAAGUCUGCUGUGAAAACUCGAGGCUCAACCUCGAGCUGUCGGCGGGAAACUGUUUGGCUAGAGUCCGGAAGAGGAGAGUGGAAUUCCUGGUCGAGCGGUGAAAUGCGCAGAUAUCGAGGAAGAACACCUAUGGCGAAGGCAGCUCUCUGG
rnacentral:rRNA from 1 species